rnacentral:rRNA from 1 species
AGAGUUUGAUCAUGGCUCAGGACGAACGCUGGCGGCGUGCUUAACACAUGCAAGUCAAGGGGGCCCGUAGCAAUACGGGCAACCGGCGAACGGGUGCGUAACACGUGAGCAACCUGCCGAUCUGCGGGGGAUAGCCGGCCCAACGGCCGGGUAAUACCGCAUACGUUCUCGAGAGGGAGUCCUCUUGAGAGGAAACCCCCGGGGUAACCCGGAUGGGCAGAUCGAGGGGCUCGCGGCCUAUCAGCUAGUUGGCGGGGUAAUGGCCCACCAAGGCACCGACGGGUAGCUGGUCUGAGAGGAUGGCCAGCCACAUUGGGACUGAGAAACGGCCCAGACUCCUACGGGAGGCAGCAGUGGGGAAUCUUGCGCAAUGGCCGAAAGGCUGACGCAGCGACGCCGCGUGUGGGAGGACGCCCUUCGGGGUGUAAACCACUGUUGCCCGGGACGAACACCCUCUUUCGAGAGGGCUGACGGUACCGGGUGAGGAAGCACCGGCUAACUCCGUGCCAGCAGCCGCGGUAAUAC